rnacentral:rRNA from 1 species
UACGUAGGGUGCAAGCGUUGUCCGGAAUUAUUGGGCGUAAAGAGCUCGUAGGCGGUCUGUCGCGUCUGCUGUGAAAACUCAGGGCUUAACCCUGAGCUUGCAGUGGGUACGGGCAGACUAGAGUGCGGUAGGGGAGACUGGAAUUCCUGGUGUAGCGGUGAAAUGCGCAGAUAUCAGGAGGAACACCGAUGGCGAAGGCAGGUCUCUGGGCAUUAACUGACGCUGGAGGAGCGGAAAGCAUGGGGAGCGAACAGG